UAAGUACUUCAUCCGUCCGGAAAUACUUGUCCUAGAAAUGAAUGUAUCUAGACUUAUUUCUAGGACAAGUAUUUCCGGACGGAGGGAGUAUAUG
rnacentral:pre_miRNA from 1 species